rnacentral:rRNA from 1 species
UACGGGGGGGGCAAGCGUUGUUCGGAAUUACUGGGCGUAAAGGGCGCGGUAGGCGGUUCGCUAAGUUGAAUGUGAAAACUCUGGGCUUAACCCAGAGCCUGCAUUCAAUACUGGCGGGCUAGAGUUCUGGAGGGGAUAGCGGAAUUCCUGGUGUAGCGGUGGAAAUGCGCAGAUAUCGGGAAGAACACCCGUGGCGAAGGCGGCUCUCGUCGGGACGGUACGUGGACGCUGAGACGCGAAAGCGUGGGGAGCGAAGAGGA